CGAGGGAACCGCCUGAACUGAAACAUCUAAGUAGGGCGAGGAAGAGACAUCAAACGAGAUUCCGUAAGUAGUGGCGAGCGAACGCGGAAGAGGGCAAACCGUGAGUAGAAAUACUUGCGGGGUACGGACUGCUUUUAGGACUUAAUCUGUUAACCGAACGGCAUGGGAAGGCCGGUCAGAGAGUGUGAGAACCACGUAGGUGAAAACGGAGAGAGCUGCGCAGGAUCCAGAGUACGGCCAGACACGUGAAACCUGGUCGGAAUACGGGGGGACCACCCUCCAACCCUAAAUACUACCCAGUGACCGAUAGCGUAUAGUACUGUGAAGGAAAGGUGAAAAGCACCCCGGGAGGGGAGUGAAAUAGAACCUGAAACCCUGUGCCUACAAGCACCUAGAGCACGUCAAUGUGUGAUAGGGUACUUUUUGUAGAACGGUCCGGCGAGCGAUUGUAUGCAGCAAGGUUAAGGUCUUCAGGACUGGAGCCGAAGCGAAAGCGAGUUUGAAAAGGGCGUUAAGUUGCAUACAAUGGGCCCGAAACCGGGUGACCUACCCAUGGUCAGGUUGAAGUGGAAGUAAAAUUCCAUGGAGGACCGAACCGACCUCCGUUGAAAAGGCGGCGGAUGAACUGUGGGUAGCGGAGAAAUUCCAAUCGAACCCGGAGAUAGCUGGUUCUCCCCGAAAUAGUUUUAGGACUAGCCUCAACUUAGAUAUCUGGAGGUAAAGCACUGAAUAGCCUAGCGGCCGAGAGGUUAGCGAAGCUUAUCAAACUCAGAAUGCCAGAAUAUUGAUGGUUGGGAGUCAGACAGUGUCAGAUAAAUGUCAUUGUCAAAAGGGAAACAGCCCAGAUCUACAGCUAAGGUCCCAAAGUCAGGUUAAGUGGAAAACGAUGUGGAGAUACGCAGACAACCAGGAUGUUGGCUCAGAAGCAGCCACUCAUUCAAAGAGUGCGUAAUAGCUCACUGGUCGAGCGUCUCUGCGCGGAGAAUUUAACGGGGCUAAACCUGACACCGAAGCUUAGGCAAUGUAGUAAUACAUUGGGUAGGGGAGCGUUGUAUACGCGGUGAAACAGUAGCGCAAGCGGCUGUGGAGUGUAUAGAAGUGAGAAUGCCGGAAUGAGUAGCGCGAAUGCAGUGAGAAUCUGCAUGGCCGAAAGCCUCAGGUUUUUGGAGGAAGGUUCGUCCGCUCCAAGUUAGUCGGGAGCUAAGGUGAGGCCGGAAGGCGUAGCCGAUGCACAGACGGUAGAGAUUCCGUCACCACCAAAAGAGUUAAGCACAGGGACACAUAAGAAGUCUCAGAGCCGGGUGUUGGUUCCGGUAGAGAUCGAGGGAAAAUAGUACCGAAGUCUGGGAUGGAAGAUGGCGAGAAAAGCUGUGUGGAUUUCUGAGGUGCCCGUACCGCAAACCGACACAGGUAGGUAGGAAGAAGAUUCUAAGGCCAACGGGAGAAGGGUUGUUAAGGAACUCGGCAAAUUGACCCCGUAACUUCGGGAGAAGGGGUGCUCCAGCGAUGGAGCCGCAGAGAAUCGGCCCAAGCAACUGUUUACCAAAAACACAGGUUUGUGCUAAAUCGAAAGAUGACGUAUACGAGCUGACGCCUGCCCGGUGCUGGAAGGUUAAGAGGAGAUGUGCAAGCAUUGAAUCGAAGCCCCAGUGAACGGCGGCCGUAACUAUAACGGUCCUAAGGUAGCGAAAUUCCUUGUCAGGUAAG
rnacentral:rRNA from 1 species